rnacentral:misc_RNA from 1 species
AUAAUAAUAAUGAUGAUGAUGAUAACCUUUCCUAGUUGGUGUUCGUACUUUAAGCCAUCUUAAUAUUGGCUUUGCGUUUGACCAUUAAAUGGUACUAGCAUUUAAAUAGAAUAGGUAGAAUUCCAUAGAAUCAACUUUCACAAGGUCAACGUCACAAUAUGAUUUGGUGUUCCAAUUCUAAAUUGAAGCCACCUCUCCCUUCUAGUAAAGUUUAUUGUCCUCAGCAAUGGCUAAUGCAAGUGCUUCUGGGUUCAGGGAUAUCAUGUUAGAAAUUAUAGACAAGGAACUAAUUUAGAGAAGAUGAAGAAACAUUGCUUAGUGGCAGUCGCUUCUUUAUCUUCCUAUUCCUUUUCUUUUUUCUCUUUUCUUUUGGUCAGGUCACAGCAAACUCAAACAAGUCAAGAUCAAGUGAGAUCAACCCAAACAAUUCUCUUCAAGUUUGCAUGUUGAGUUAAAAAAAUUGCCACCUCUAAACUGUAGUGUAGGUAUGACUUGUGUCAAACUAGUUUUAGUAGUAUACAUGAAUUAUGAAUUUCAAUUUUUUUUUCUAUUAAGUAUUUUCCACACUUUACUGAUGGGCACCUCACAUUCCUAUUAAGUGUGUGCUUGCACCUACAACCUAAAUGUAGCUUGCACUUAUAAAAACCAGGAGCAAGAGAAAAAAAAAAUCAAAGAGAAAACCAAAUCAGAACUAAAAACCAAACCCAGCAAAAAAAAUAUUAACCAAAUAGGUCUAUUUGGUUCCUAGUUGAUUUUGAAAUUAUGAAGGGUAACUUACAAAAACCCCCCAACCUUAAGCAGAAUUUAAAGGUACAAAAGUUAUCAAGUGUUUUUCCAAUGGCUGAAGAAAGACGAACAUUAGAUUUUAAAGGUUAAAAAUUUACCAAGGUGUUUUACCUAGGGCAGAGUGCAAGAAGUGUACAUUCUGUAAACAAGAUCAAAGCAUUUUAGCAUCUGACGUGAGAAGUCCCAUCUGCUCCGUAAGCUGAUCCACGUGCUGAGUUUUGUCCCACCCAUUGUCCAUUGACUGCACAUCAUUUUCCUUUGUUUGACCAUCCAUGGAGCUUGAUUCAAUAUCCUCAGGUACUGGGCUUUGCACAAGUUCAUCCCAGAAGCUAGAAUUU